UACGUAGGGACCGAGCGUUGUCCGGAAUCAUUGGGCGUAAAGAGCGUGUAGGCGGCCUUUUAAGUCCUGCGUGAAAUCCUGCGGCUCAACCGCAGACGGUCGUGGGAAACUGGAAGGCUAGAGUGCGGGAGAGGAGAGUGGAAUUCCCGGUGUAGCGGUGAAAUGCGCAGAUAUCGGGAAGAACACCCGUGGCGAAGGCGACUACCUGGCCCAUUCUUGACGCUGAGGCGCGAAAGCUAGGGGAGCGAACGGG
rnacentral:rRNA from 1 species